UUUCUCAGAGCUGAGGAAUCCAUUUGUGUUGGCACCAGUUACAUCGCGCGAUGUGGCAAGUGCCAAGCACGGCGUUGGGCGGUUGGAUCACAAGUUUCGAUUAGAUUCGUUUUUCAAUCUUCAUGUGCUACAACUUCGCGGCAUUUCUAACAAAAAAGUAGUAGAGUUAGCAGCGAUGUGGUGGUUAUGGCGCAUGUGACGGUGGUGAGAGGAAGCAGCUGC
rnacentral:lncRNA from 1 species